rnacentral:misc_RNA from 1 species
GAUGAAGAACGUAGCGAAAUGCGAAAAGUAAUGUGAAUUGCAGAAUUCAGUGAACCAUCGAAUCUUUGAACGCACAUUGCGCCCGCUGGAACUCCGGCGGGCACGCCUGUCCGAGCGUCAUUUCAACCCUCAGGCCCCCCUUCGCGGGCGGGCCUGGUGUUGGGGCCCGGCCGCUACCCUGCGGCCGUCCCCUAAAUCCAGUGGCGGCCUCGCCGUGAUCCCUUGCGUAGUAAUGCACCUCGCACCGGAGAGCGCCGUGGCCACGCCGUAAAACCCCCAAUUUUCAAUGGUUGACCUCGGAUCAGGUGGGAAUACCCGCUGAACUUGAGCAUAUCAAUAAGCGGAGGA